rnacentral:rRNA from 1 species
UGGGGAAUAUUGCACAAUGGGCGCAAGCCUGAUGCAGCCAUGCCGCGUGUAUGAAGAAGGCCUUCGGGUUGUAAAGUACUUUCAGCGGGGAGGAAGGUGUUGUGGUUAAUAACCACAGCAAUUGACGUUACCCGCAGAAGAAGCACCGGCUAACUCCGUGCCAGCAGCCGCGGUAAUACGGAGGGUGCAAGCGUUAAUCGGAAUUACUGGGCGUAAAGCGCACGCAGGCGGUCUGUCAAGUCGGAUGUGAAAUCCCCGGGCUCAACCUGGGAACUGCAUUCGAAACUGGCAGGCUAGAGUCUUGUAGAGGGGGGUAGAAUUCCAGGUGUAGCGGUGAAAUGCGUAGAGAUCUGGAGGAAUACCGGUGGCGAAGGCGGCCCCCUGGACAAAGACUGACACUCAGGUGCGAAAGCGUGGGGAGCAAACA